GGGGAGCUUGCUCCCUGGGUGGCGAGUGGCGGACGGGUGAGUAACGCAUGAGAAUCUGCCUGGCAGAGGGGGAUAACCCGGGGAAACUCGGGCUAAUACCGCAUACGCCCUACGGGGGAAAGGGGGGUUUCGGCCUCUCGUUGCCAGAUGAGCUCAUGUCCGAUUAGCUAGUUGGCGGGGUAAAGGCCCACCAAGGCGACGAUCGGUAGCUGGUCUGAGAGGAUGACCAGCCACACUGGGACUGAGACACGGCCCAGACUCCUACGGGAGGCAGCAGUGGGGAAUAUUGGACAAUGGGGGAAACCCUGAUCCAGCAAUGCCGCGUGGGUGAAGACGGCCUGCGGGUUGUAAAGCCCUUUC
rnacentral:rRNA from 1 species